rnacentral:lncRNA from 1 species
GGUGGUGUACAUAACCCCCGAGGUGGGGAUGUUUCUCAUCCAACCGACAGCAGCGAGGGAGGCCCUGCCCGCCGGCCCGGACCUCGCGCCGCUGUGCCCGGAGGGCCGGAAAUGUGCCAGAGCCUCCAGCGGAGUCAUGGUUACACCAAAGCCACGGCCAUGGUCCGGGGGUCUGUCCUCCCAGCUGCGGGGCUCUGACUGCGCUCCUCCGCCCGCUGCCCUCACGGGUGGGGAGGCCGGAGCCCACACUCGAGGUGGGGGCGCACCUUGUCCGUGUAGGUGAAGAAGAGGACGGCAACGGUGGCCUCCAGCAGGAACACCAGCAGCAGCACCACGAAGAACUGCAGGCAAGGACCGCCAGCCUCAGCGACCAGGCCUGACCUGGCCCCAGGGCGCGGGCCCAGAGAGCGCCAGGCCCCUCGUGGAGCCCCGCCUCCCUCGGAGGCCCGUCUCCACCCCAGGGGCCGUCACGUCUCACCCCACCUCAGAGCCCAGGCUUCGGCCGUGGCGCACCCACGUGUGCUCCAUACGUCCCACGAAGCCAAUGGCCAUCACGAGGGUGCCGGUGGCGAUGAGCAGGUUGGCGGCCGACAGCGACGGGAAGGAGGAGGACAGGGUGGCAAAGUUGCCCUGCGUGGCAGCCAGCCAGAUGCCGACACCCAGGAUGCCGCAGCCUCCUAGCUGGGGUCCCGGGACAGGCAGAGAGGGGCCGAGAUCGGUCAGCACACAAGGACGAUCGGGGAGAGAGCCAGGCGGCGGCGCGUCCAGGGAGGCCUCCGGGCCUUCCGUGAUGACGGGACGCCCGGCGGGGCGCAGGGGAGGGCCAGGUGGGCAGAGAGCACUGUGGCUCCUGUGUGGAGCCACAAAUGCUGACCAGCCUAGGGCCUCCGGCAGCCUGGGCACGGGGAGGCCACCUGAACUGAGUGCUUGGGGAAGGCCAGGUAGCCCGGGGGUCCCCGCCCCCCUCCAGGACUGGUCGGGUCAUGGGGGCCUGCACCCCUGGGCCCAGGAGCCUUCUCAAUGCCUGGUCUCGACCCCGGCAGGGACCCCACGACUUAGGCCAGAUGGGCCCCGAGACCCCGCCCAAGGAGGCCGUCCCACUGCCCCCACCAGCCCCCCAGCCCUGGCUGCAGGGGUGGGGCAGGCGCUGCUCCACUCUCACUAAGCCCCCGGCGAGCACACAAGUGCCCUAAGCCAGGCUGGCAGGAGACCGCAGUCGCGGGGGCACACAGCCCCCAGCCUGAGGGCCGAACGGCCAGGGGCUCCUGCUGGUGCU